rnacentral:lncRNA from 1 species
GUGGUGCUGAGGCUCGAACCCAGGUCCCGCCCGUGCUAGGCGAGUGCUGUAUCGCUGAGCCACAGUCGCAGCCCCUAAAAGUUAACAUCUUUAUAUAUAUAUAAACAAUGUGUGUGCAUUUUUAAAGAAUCAGUGUAGAGAAAACACUCAUGGUCCUCCACGGGACAUCUGGAGCUAGCAAAAGUCAUGUUGCGAUUCAUGAAUGACCAAACUCCGGGAAAUGCUGCCUUAGUAACAUCUGUCAGAAUGGACGGGUCCGGAUGUCUGCUAGGCGGGCCACGCUGAAAGCCAGCCCAGCCCUUUCUGCAACAGCGUCCAAGUCUUGGUUUGUCUGUGUCCCGCUUCUCGCUUCUCGUCCCAAAGGUUCAUUUACCAAGCGAAAGUCGGGGGCCGCUGGUUUCCAGCCGUCUGCGCGCACAGCAAGAAGCAAGGCAAGCAGGAAGCAGCCGAUGCGGCCCUCCGCGUCCUGAUUGGGGAGAGCGAGAAGGCAGAGCGCAUGGGUUUCACAGAGGUAACCCCAGUGACAGGGGCCAGUCUCAGAAGAACUAUGCUCCUCCUCUCCAGGUCCCCAGAAGCGCAGCCAAAGACAGUUAAGACGUCUACUUUUGGUGCUAUCUUUUUGUUUUGGGGGUGGAGCUGGCUUGUCACUAGCUGUCAUGUGAAUUGUCCCUUGGCUAUGCUACUAGCCUCAAUAGAGCAUAUAACUGGGACACUAGAUGUGAAAGGGGAAAGAAAGGUGGUGCACGAGUCCAUUAGCACGUGACCCCCUGCCCACUGUGAAGCAUGGUGGACGCGGGCGUGGCUGCAUGACCCUCACAGCCCCCUGUCCCCACAGCUUCCUCUCACUGGCAGUACCUUCCACGACCAGAUAGCGAUGCUGAGCCACCGGUGCUUCAACACCCUCACAAACAGUUUCCAGCCCUCCCUGCUCGGCCGCAAAAUCCUAGCCGCCAUCAUUAUGAAGAAAGACCCUGAGGACAUGGGUGUCGUGGUCAGCUUGGGGACAGGUGAGAGAGGGUCUCCCCAGCCACCAGCCUCUCAGUGACUGGAAGCAGGUCUUCCUCACCCUCCCCUGAGUCCAUGUGAGCAAGUCCAAGCCCGGGGACCAGGCCGCGCGUCCCCUUGUCCUGACAUGGAUCUUAAAAAGCUCUGGAUUUUGGCCAGGUGCCAGGGUGCCUUUAAUGCCACCCACUCAGGAGGCUGCGGCAGGGUGAUGGAGAAUUCAGAGCCAGCUCAGCAACUGAGCAAGACCUAAGCAACAGCAAGACCCUGCCUCUCAAAAAAUACUGCCGAGGGCUGGGCAUGUGGCUCAGGGGCUAAGUGCCCACGGGUUCAAUCCCCAGUACACCCCCUCAAAAAAAAGCUUUGCAUUUUGGAACACUUCAGAUUUCCACAUUAGGGAUGCUCAACUAGCAGACUCCAUGCAAAUAUUCCAAAAUCUGAACAACUCCAGACUCUGAAACACUGUGGUCCUGAGCACUUGGGUAAAGGACACUCACCUGCGUGUCAUUUAGCUGCAGUCAGCUCAGGGUGGGGGUGGACUCCUUCUCCCUAGGUAAGAGGAUGACUGUCCAGGCUGUUCUCCGCGAGCCUGAAGACAGACUGCCCCACCCACUUCACCCUCCUUCUCCUUUGACUUUUCCCUUUUUCUCCCAAUCCUUCAGGGAAUCGCUGUGUCAAAGGAGACUCCCUCAGCCUCAAGGGAGAGACCGUCAACGACUGUCAUGCGGAGAUCAUCUCCCGAAGAGGCUUCAUCAGGUGAGCGAGCACCUGCCGGGGCUGCCCCCGCCCACCUGGGCACAGUGGCUCCGGCACAGGCCUUCCUGACACCCCGGCAGACGGCAGGUCCCUGAGCCAGCAGUGGUGGCCUUCGGGUUUAUCCUGUGAUCUGAGCCCUCGUAGAGCCAGUCCCCUCUGUGACCCUCUGCCUCCCACCCCCAGCCUGGUCCUAAGACCUUUUUUCUGCCAACUCUGCUGUCUUCUGUUUCUCAAAACAAAGUGACCCUGGGUCCUCGGGCCUUGGGGAUGAGGCGGCCUCCAUCUCCAUUUGAGGACCCAUCAGCACCUCGUGUCGCCGCGGCUUCUCCUCUGGUUCACCUUUUCUCUAAUUUGUGAAGGGAGCGGGGAAGAGGCAGCUGCCUCCCGAAGCCUUGAGCCAGUUCCUUCUGCCUGGAGUCCCUGCAGCCGCCACAGCAAGGGGCCUUUGGCGGAAAUGAAACGGACCGAAAGGCUCACUGUGCUUUAUGAAAUGCUGAGGUCUCUCUGGGAAGCUUCCCCACCUGAGAAGCUAGAAGAGCUGCACCAGGAAACUUGUCCCCACUUGGGGCUCAGAUAGGGGUCAGCUCCAAGCACCAUCUGCUCUCGCCAGAAUCCAGCCUGCCGUCCUAACUGCACGUCUUUUACAGGUUCCUUUACAGUGAGUUAAUGAAAUACAACCCCCAGACUGCGAAGGACAGUAUAUUUGAGCUUGCCAGGGGAGGAGAGAAGCUCCAGAUAAAAAAGACUGUUUCGUUCCACCUGUACAUCAGGUCUGUACCCUGCCGGGCUCCCAGGAUGGGCUUCCACCUGCUCUGCCGGCCCCUAAAUCUGACCCCACGCAACAGGCCACACGCUCCACUGAGGUACCAUGAGGUACAUUCCCCAGUGGAGGAUGACUGUCCUAGACACAGCUGCCCCCUCCAGCAUCCCCUGGUGGGCUCCAGGAAACAUCCCAGCUCCAGCCGCAGCAGACUAGGGACCCCGAGAAGUUGGAGUUCCCUCCUGCGCAGGUGAGUGACGGACACCCCUGUGUUGCAGCACUGCCCCGUGUGGAGACGGCGCCCUCUUCGACAAGUCCUGCAGUGACCGCGCCCUGGAAAGCACAGAUUCCCGCCACUACCCUGUCUUUGAGAAUCCCAAACAAGGCAAGCUGCGCACCAAGGUGGAGAAUGGUGAGUGCCACACAGGCUCUGCGAGACCCCCGUGUGCGCCACUCGUCACGGGGGAGGACUGUAGGGAGGGGAAGUUCCAUUCUGAAUCUGUUAGCUCAGGUGAUGAGAGCCUGGGGGGGAAGAAAGGACAGAGCGUGUCCUCCUGGGGUCUCCACGGCCGGCACAGGCAGAGUGCGGGGGGAGGGCGGCGGAAGUGAAAAGUCAGGCCCUCCGUCUGGUGGCCUCGGACCUGGCCUCCUGCCCCCUCGCGCCUUCCUGCCUGUCCCCCAGCAUCUCCUUCUCCUCCGGUCACCCCUGCUCCCUUCAUGCUUCAGCAGUCGUCUGCGUCACUGUCAAGCCCAAGUCAGGUCACGUCAGUUCCCUGCUGGCCACCCUGAAGUCUGGACAGCACCACGUGGCCCAGCAGUCCUCCUGGGCUAUCCCCAGGAGAAGUGAAAGCCCAGGUCCACACAGAGCUAGUUCGGGCGCCUUCACAGCAGCCGGGCAGGGGACACGGCCAGCGCCCUCCCCUCCAUGACAGAAAAGUAAAACCGCCACAUCCAUGCGAGGGACUGUCCUUGGCCAUGACAUGAAGUAAGCAUUGACCCAGCUACAGUGAGGUCACCCUGAAAACGUCAUGCUAAGCGCAAAAAGCCCCAAAAGAUCACGUGGUGUGACUCCAUUUCUAUGAAAUAUCCAGAAUAAAUGAGUUCUACAGACAGGAAGUGCCUGAGAGGCUGCCCGGAUGAGGGACGGAGGGAGGUGGGAGUGAGAGCCAGCCGAGGUCGGGUUGGGGUUGAUCGUGCCGAUGUAUAAUCCCAUGGUGCAUAACCUCAGAAACGCCAAAAACCACUGAACAGCUUGCUUUCAAUGGCGAGUUGUAGUAUACGACUUGUAUCUCAGUAAAGCUGGUAUUUUUUAAAAAAACGCAAGCACCAUGUAGGGUCUCCCACUGCCCUUGAUACGAAGGCAACCUGAGCCAGGCACAGUGGCCCAGGCCUGCAAUCCCAGCAGCUCCGGAGGCUGAGGCAGGAGGAUCACGAGUUCAAAGCCAGCCUUAGCGAGGCCCAGAGCAACUCAGCAAGACCCUGUCUGUACUGAAAGCCCACCUCCCGGCCUCAGCCUGCCCAGUCUUCUCUUUGGUGAUUCUCUGGUGCCCCCGAAACACCGAAACCCUCGCUGCCUCAGGCCGUGGCUUCUGCCGCUCGCUCCCUGUCUGAAUGGGUUAGGACUCUUCUCCCUCCAGCUGCUCCCUGCCUCCUCCACCCAGGAGCUCGCGGUGCCGUCCCCCCGGCUCUCCCACAGGCCUUCCCCACGCUGUCAGCAUCUGGAGUUCCCACCUGCUCACUGGUGCAUCUGCUUAGUGCUCUCCUUUCCCUUUCUGUCCCUCACCCCUGAACACCGCGGGACAGCACGGACCUCACUGAGGUCUGCUCCCCAGUGUUUCCCAGCUCCCAGCACAGUGACCGCCGUGUCCUCCAGGACUGUGAGCCACAUGGAGAAUGAAGGGCCGAGCUGCCGGUGGCCCGGCCUCAGGAGCUCAAGUCCCGCGCUAGGGGUGGUUUGGUGGCCUCUGUGGAUCUGACCCGAGUCUCUCACACAGGGGAAGGCACCAUCCCUGUGGAGUCCAGUGACAUUGUGCCUACGUGGGAUGGCAUCCGGCUUGGGGAGAGACUCCGCACCAUGUCCUGUAGUGACAAAAUCCUACGCUGGAACGUGCUGGGCCUGCAAGGGGCACUGCUGACCCACUUCCUACACCCUGUGUAUCUCAAAUCUGUCACACUGGGUAAGGGACCUGCCUUGGGAGUUGGAACCCACCUGUCCUUCUCCACCCCAGUCCCAGAAAACUUCAUGCUUCAGUCAACCCACUUUCCACAGUGAGCUCAGCCCCGUCGUCAGCAGGGGGUGCCGGCCUGCACAGGCCGGAGGGUGGCCAGGAGGCCGAGGAGGGGGGCCAGGCCAGUCUCCAAGACGGGUCGGAGAAACGCGGCAGAUGGCAGCAGCAGCAUCUGGUUUUCCUUGUUCUCCUCAGUCCUUGGCCUUACCCGAAACAUUCCGUUUUGUGCUUCAAUAUUUGAUGAUCCUGUGUGUCCUGUGCUGCCACAGUUAGAGGCCCUGCCUGUCAGGGGCUCUCUGUCCUGACAAUUCUGCCUUAUACCUUCCAGCCCCCGGGGGCCUCAGCUUCUCCAUAGCUUUGGUGAACACAGAUGUAUGGGUUUUUGUUUCUGUUUUUACUUUCUUUUUUAUACCCAGGGUACCUUUUCAGCCAAGGACAUCUGACCCGGGCUAUCUGCUGUCGUGUGACAAGAGACGGGAGUGCGUUUGAGGCUGGAUUACGAUACCCCUUUGUUGUCAACCACCCGAAGGUCUGUGCCCCUGUCCUGUUCCCCUUUUCAAGCAUUCCCAUCAGCAGAGCAGAAAUAUGGUCAAGGGAGCCAUGGUUGGUGUCCUCUGGAGGCCAAGGGCUUUCCUCCUCUAGCCUGACACGAUCUGAAUCGAGGUGGAGAGUACUUCUAGAGUGUGCUCCGGUGUAACCAAGCCAUGUUAAAUCAAGGGGGAGACGGUGGCCCACCUCCCUCUUCCCCAUGAUUCGGGAGUCCCUGCUCCCAGAACUUAGCCCUGAAUGGUGUCCACCUCUCUCUCUUCACUCCUGGGACUCCCAGGUGGGCCGAGUCAGUGUGUAUGACUCCAAGAGGCAAUCCGGGAAGACUAAGGAGACGAGCGUCAACUGGUGUUUGGCUGACGGCUUCGACCUGGAGAUCCUGGAUGGUACCAGGGGCACCGUGGACGGGUAAGGAAGGGGGAGGGUGCAGGGCAAGCAGGAUCCUCUCCAGAGCUAGGGCCACGUCCCACCACGGGUGUCCCCAGUGGCUCCCACUCCCCUGUCCCAGGUGAAUAACCAGUGCCUUUGUUUCCCCAGGCCACGAAAUGAAUUGUCGCGGGUAUCGAAAAAGAACAUUUUUCUUCUGUUUAAGAAGCUCUGCUCCUUCCGGUACCGCAGGGACUUACUGAAACUCUCCUACGGUGAGGCCAAGAAAGCCGCCCGCGACUAUGAGAUAAACAAGAACUACUUCAAAAAGAGCCUCAAGGACAUGGGUUACGGAAACUGGAUAAGCAAACCCCAGGAGGAGAAGAACUUCUAUCUCUGCCCCGUACCCAACGACUGAGGCUGGGGGUUGGCGGGGAGGGGGGGGGUCCUGGCAUUCCUCAUCACAUUGGCCUAGGGUGGGGGGGGGUUAACCCCCACCUUUUUUUUUUUAAUGGAACCAUAAUUAGAGAUACUGAGAACUUUGGGUUCCCUUUAUCCUGCUUUCUUUGGGGUUUCUAGGCAGAAUCUGGCCAGGCCCCUUCUCUUACUUCAAGUGAGAGGCAGAGACCUACAGGCAGAGAAAGGGGUUGACCUUUCCACCCAGAGCAUAAGCAGUCACCCAGCCCCUGUGGCCCAUCUCCUCCUGAGCUUUGUUUUCCCGUUUCCUUUUUGUGGGUGUGUUUCUACACUGACCUCUCGUGGACUUGAUCAGGUUCCAGUCAGUUCUCUGUGAACCGUGUCAGGGACCAAGGAUCUCGUUUAUGGAUCCCACAGGCCCCUCUAUUUCCCACCCCCGGCUUCUGAGAUUCUUACCUGUGAUCACUGAGUCUCUCCUCCCACCCUGGAGGGUAAAGAGGUGGACUUCAGGAAUUAGGUGAAAUAUUUACAAGGGUAGGAACUGAAGACUACGGCGGAUUAACUACCAGUGCCAAUGGAAGUGGGACUGGAAUCUGCGAACCCUGCUCAGCAGUGGGAACCUGCACUGUGUCCAGGAAAAAGCCGCUGCUGGCGAAGCGCAUCCCUUCCCGGGGCAGCAGGAAGUUGAGAACCAGCAGACGGGCUAGGAAGUUACCCACGCCGUAGGCGGUCCCCCCUGCAGAGUGACACAGACCACUACCAGGGGCACAGACAGACGUUCCUUGGGCUAUUGCCAAGCUCCCAUCUGCCCAUAAGCCCAUAGACCCCAGUAAACUAGUGUGAAAAACUUCAGGACAAUUCUUAGAGGGUAAAUCGUCUGCUCAGAUAGUUAGGACUUAGCAAGAAUAGGGCAGAAAUCAUGUUGGGACAAAUCGUUGUUCUGUGCAGUUCAAUAUUUCUCAGCACUGAUCCAAGGAAAGUUGACUAAACCCAGUAGAAUUAGGGCUCUUUUAAAGAAUGCCAGAGACGUUGGUUCUCAACCGCAGUCGCACAGAUUUAAAAUGCAGAUGGCCUUUUCCAUCCAUCCCAGGGCCUCAUCGUGUCAGAUGGCUCUGGGACUGGCAGAUGAUUUCCCACACUCCUGCCUCCCACCCGCAAACUGCUUCCCCACCUGGUCUGGCCCACCUCUUCAGUAGUGGAUAUGUCUGUGUUUGCACUUUGAUCUCUCUGGCUACUUUCUGUACCUGUGACCAAAAACUGAAUGAAAUAAUAAUGCAGGUUUUAAAAAAGACACUAAGGAUGUCUUUGUGGGACACUGAAGCAUCCCAAGGGAACUGGUGGGGAAAUGGGGCCUGUCUCUGGGGGAGAAGGGGCCGGGGCUUUGUGAGUAUUGCCAAGCUUGGGGUAUUAGCUGAAGGCAUGUGACUUCAGUGCUGACCUGCGGAGUGACAGUGCUCACUGUGUGGGGGCAGGGUGAUCUUGUGGCUCCGGGACAGGUCCUCCCGGCUGGAGGAUGACUACCUACCAGUUCCUCAGGAUGUCUGGCAGCUUUGGUCUGCCUUGGGCAUUAGAAUCUCUGGCAGAGAUCUGACUCAGCAGUCCCCCACCCCAUCACUGGGAGCACAGGGGCUCUCAAGAGAUCAGAGCCCCACUCGCCCCCAGGAUCUUAUCUAGCAAACUUGUCAUAUCCAGUUUCUGCUGUAAGAAGAAAGCGAGAAGCACCCCUGCCCUCCACACCCUGCUGGAAUUGAGCCGUGUCAGGCCCCGCCCCCCCCGUGUCCCAGGCCCCGCCCCUCAGAGUCACACAGGAGGGGUGGGGGGCAGAGCAUCCCCCCUGUGUUCACUUCUGUCCAAUCUUUGUUUUAACAAGCAAGACCCCUCCCUCCUUUCUUUAAUGGUUUUUUGUAGUUGAUUUGUCUGAACUGUGGCUGUUGUGCAUUAUCUUUGAAUAAUCACUUGUAAAAAUUGUUGAUGCUUGAAGCUAUUUCCUUUACUCAAGUUGAAAGGACUCUGUUGGCUUUGGGGUCUUGACAGUGACUCCAAGAGCAGAGUGGGGAAGAGCCCGGGCAUAGCCUUGGUGCCAGGGAGGCUGCAGUCCAGUUUCAUGAUUCUGCUUUUUGUGUCUACCUUCAAGUGACUCACAGUAUACAUUCCUCUGAAAUAAAAACAGUGAACAGUCUGAAUCCUUAGAGAGCUUCAUGUCUUGGU